rnacentral:rRNA from 1 species
UUCCGGACAGGUAAAAGGGGGGGCAUGGUUGUCGUCGGCUCGGGCCGGGAGAUGUUGGGUUAAUUCCCGCAACGAGCGCAACCCCUAUUGUUAUUUGCCAGCAUUAAGUUGGGCACUCUAAUGAGACUGCCGGGGACAACUCGGAGGAAGGGGGGGAGGACGUCAAAUCAUCAUGCCCCUUAUGUUCUGGGGUACACACGUGCUACAAUGGGUAGAACAACGGGAGGCAAGCUAGUGAUAGGAAGCAAACCCCUAAAAAAUACCCUCAGUUCAGAUUGUAGGCUGAAACUCCCCUACAUGAAGUCGGAGUUGCUAGUAAUCGCGAAUCAGCAUGUCGCGGUGAAUA